rnacentral:lncRNA from 1 species
AGUUAUGUGAUAUCAGCAUUAGUUCUCAGCUUGAGUUGUACAGAUAGCGAGAACUCUCAACCAAGCCCAGGUCAUAAUACUUUCUACCCGACUCCAGAAAGAGAGAUGAAGAAGCUCAGGACGUAGUUAUGCUACGCUACCGCACUGAAGAAGGCCUGGGUAGCCACGCUGAGGCUCCAGCUGGUCAGGUGGCCACACUGGUGACACCAGGUGAUGGAUGCACACUGAACCAUCUUGUAGCUUUGAGAACUGAAAUACUCCAAUUUCCUCAGAAGGCUGUCACAGCUAACACAUCUGGAGGCUCUUGGUGACUUAAGCAUCAAGGAGACAAAUGGCGUGACUGCUGCCCAUCUUCCCUCCCUUCUGGAGCCCAGGACGAGCCGGAACCCCAGAUGAAUAGAGCAGCUCAUCCGGCCUCACCGCAGUACUUAAAACUGCUCAACACUAAGAAGAGAAACAAUAACCUCAUCAAAUCAAAGGACUCAUUUAUAAAACAAGGACUGAAAAGGCCCUGUUCAAAAGCAGUUAGCCAUGUAAACACAUCAGAAUAACACGAACUGUAGGUUAGAGAGUUAGCCUCAUAGAAACAUAAGCAACAUCAUCUAUGUAUCUAAUGUAAGCCUAACUUCAGUAAACAGUAAGCUGUUUUGAGAUAAGAACUCUUCACUGAGGAGACAUGCUUCCUGUAAAGGCAGAUACCAUUUCCGGUUGCAGCCAUAUUUAAAUUCAUGCAGGCAGUACUGGAAGAGGUCAUAACUUGUGCCCCAGGUCACCUCUUGCAAUCAGAGUGCCACCAUUUCCAGGGAGCUGAUGAGCCUUCAGCAGUCACUAAAUUAAUCAUAUACAAGAAAUAACACCAUAACCUACUUCAAAUUAUGGGUGCCAGUUUAGUGUUGGGGCUGCCUUGCCUUGAGAACCCAGACAAAAAUAACACAGAAGGCAAACUUCCUUUUAAAACACACCACACAUCCACACACACACACACACACACACACACACACACACACAAGCUCAGGAAGCUGGUGAACAGCUAGCUCAGAAGCCUUGAGAGCCGGCUGUGUGCAGCAUUCUUUGAAUACGAAUUAGCAGUGGGUAAUGGCAGCAUAUUUAUGAGGCCUCUUGCCGGGCCCUUUCCUCCUGUGAAUGCUGUAUAAUUCAUUGCAUGCGCCCUGACCCCAGUGCGCUCCUGUUCUGACAAAUCAUACUUGAUUAAGACAAAUCUUUAUUAGUUAGCUAGUCAACUUCCCCAUUUAUCACUGGCAAAUCCCAUUCUCUUUCAGGUGCAGGGAAGGUGACUGAAGCCUUCACAAACAACAGCAGAGCCACCUCAGAUAGUGCAGAAGAGUGAAGUAUUUCUCACAGACACAGCAAAUACAGCCCCAAGCUUCAGAGUCUUAGUAGAUGAUUAGACAAAGAAUUCAAUAGGGUUAUAGUACACACACUGAGACUAGAACCCUCUACACAUUUCACCCAAGCCAAGAAACUAUUAAUUGGGAAAUCUAUUUCAUGAUUAUUUUUAUCAUCUACUAAACUUAUUUUGAAAGCAAAAUGCUAUGGUCUUUAAAAACUGUAUUAUAAAGUUGGAGGCUCAAAUGAUGAACAAUGAAGGUAAAAGGGCUUCCUAGUAUACCAAGAGUUGUGGUCCUCACAAUAAACAGACAAUC